AUGGUGACUCAGUGGGCGGCUUGGGAAACAGGACCACACAGGAGGCCCACAUCCGAGACAGCGAGCGAGCGAGUCAGGAGACGAGUGCGCAGGCGCGGAUCGUGGAGAAUUCCGGGUUGUGGCCGGCUCCAUUUCCGGGUCGUUGUCAAGGAGGCGAGGCGAAUCCAACCCCGCAUCUUCCGGGUCAGACAGGGCUCGCAGGCGGAGGUAAGAACGGUGUCGAGGCGAGCGGCGGCCACCGGCAGCAGUGAAGUGGCGAAACGCAAGGGCGGCUCGGUCAAGCGGAGGUGA
rnacentral:rRNA from 1 species